UGGGGAAUCUUGGACAAUGGGCGCAAGCCUGAUCCAGCCAUGCCGCGUGAGUGAUGAAGGCCCUAGGGUCGUAAAGCUCUUUCGCCAGGGAUGAUAAUGACAGUACCUGGUAAAGAAACCCCGGCUAACUCCGUGCCAGCAGCCGCGGUAAUACGGAGGGGGUUAGCGUUGUUCGGAAUUACUGGGCGUAAAGCGCACGUAGGCGGAUCAGAAAGUUGGGGGUGAAAUCCCGGGGGCUCAACCCCGGAACUGCCUCCAAAACUCCUGGUCUAGAGUUCGAGAGAGGUGAGUGGAAUUCCGAGUGUAGAGGUGAAAUUCGUAGAUAUUCGGAGGAACACCAGUGGCGAAGGCGGCUCACUGGCUCGAUACUGACGCUGAGGUGCGAAAGUGUGGGGAGCAAACAGGAUUAGAUACCCUGGUAGUCCACACCGUAAAACGAUGAAUGCCAGUCGUCGGGUAGCAUGCUAUUCGGUGACACACCUAACGGAUUAAGCAUUCCGCCUGGGGAGUACGGUCGCAAGAUUAAAAACUC
rnacentral:rRNA from 1 species